rnacentral:rRNA from 1 species
UACGAAGGGGGCUAGCGUUGCUCGGAAUCACUGGGCGUAAAGCGCACGUAGGCGGCUUGCUAAGUCAGGGGGUGAAAUCCUGGAGCUCAACUCCAGAACUGCCUUUGAUACUGGCGAGCUUCGAGUCCGGGAGAGGUGAGUGGAACUGCGAGUGUAGAGGUGAAAUUCGUAGAUAUUCGCAAGAACACCAGUGGCGAAGGCGGCUCACUGGCCCGGUACUGACGCUGAGGUGCGAAAGCGUGGGGAGCAAACAGGG